rnacentral:rRNA from 1 species
CCCUUAGAUGUUCUGGGCCGCACGCGCGCUACACUGAUGCAUUCAACGAGUUUCUUCCUGGUCCGAGAGGAAUGGGUAACCUUUUGAAAGUGCAUCGUGAUAGGGAUAGACUAUUGCAAUUAUUGGUCUUCAACGAGGAAUUCCUAGUAGACGUAGUUCAUCAGACUGCAUCGAUUACGUCCCUGCCCUUUGUACACACCGCCCGUCGCUCCUACCGAUUGAGUGGUCCGGUGAGGCUUUGGGAUCUGAGCGGAAAGAGCGUUUCGCUGUUUCUGCCCGGAAAACUCAGUCGAACCUUAUCAUUUAGAGGAAGGAGAAGUCGUAACA